UACGUAGGGGGCAAGCGUUGUCCGGAUUUAUUGGGCGUAAAGAGCUCGUAGGUGGUUCGGUAAGUCGGAUGUGAAAUCUCCAGGCUCAACCUGGAGGGGUCAUUCGAUACUGCCGUGACUAGAGGUCGGUAGGGGAGUGUGGAAUUCCUGGUGUAGAGGUGAAAUGCGCAGAUAUCAGGAGGAACACCAAUGGCGAAGGCAGCUCGCUGGGACGUGACUGACGCUGAGACGCGAAAGCGUGGGGAGCAAACAGG
rnacentral:rRNA from 1 species